UUUAAAACAGAUUUAUCUCCCUUUUUUUCUCACGCAGAACACACUUUCUUUCUCUGCGUUCUGUUUCCUUCCCCCUUUCUCUCUACCGUCUCUCUCUCUGCGUUUCUCCGGCGAACAUCACCGGUUCUCGCCGCCUCCGGCGUGGCGAGGCCGGCUCCUCAUCUUCUCCUUCCUCUCUAUUCCCUAUUUCCUUUUCUAAUUCUAAAAUUCCCAAUUUCUAGGGUUUUCUGCCUCCCUUUCCCCUCUGAAAUUCGCCCCUUCGGUGAGUGCUGCCUCUGCCACCGCCGUCUCCGUCGCACCACCGCCACCUCUGUCUCAGGUAAUCUAUCUUCCUCCCUCUCUCACGAUCGAUCUCUCUCUGUCCUCUCUCUGCUCUCCCUCUCGAUCUUCCCCUCUGCCCUCUUGCUUGCGGCGGCCGCGGCAGCGGCAGCGCAUGCAGCGCCGGUGGUUUCCGCCGCCCUGCUCUCCUCUCUCUUUCGCGCUCAAACUCCCUCUUUCUCUCUGCUGCUGGCGGCCAGUGCGGACCGCCGUGGCGCAGCAGCGCCGGCGGUUGCCGCCUCAGCUGCGAACUGCUACUGCCGCUCGUCUCUUCUUCUUGUUCUCUACUUUCCAGAACUGAUGAUUUAAGGUGCCUCUCGGAGUGGCAGUCCGUCUACUGCUCAAGAUCAUCUUUCUAUAUGUUAUAAGUCUAUUUUCCUUUAUUGCUUAUUGUAAAACUGAGAUUUUGAUGGUGAGGAAACAAUACUGUAUCGUUACUAUUCUUAUGUGUAGCUAUGUCUUUUCUGCUGUUCUUGAUUGUUCCUUUUAUGCACAAGGAAUUGAUUGAAUUGUAUACAAGAAAACUACCUGCUUUGCUUGAUGCUGC